UGGGGAAUAUUGCACAAUGGGCGCAAGCCUGAUGCAGCCAUGCCGCGUGUAUGAAGAAGGCCUUCGGGUUGUAAAGUACUUUCAGCGGGGAGGAAGGUGUUGAGGCUAAUAACCUCAUCAAUUGACGUUACCCGCAGAAGAAGCACCGGCUAACUCCGUGCCAGCAGCCGCGGUAAUACGGAGGGUGCAAGCGUUACUCGGAAUUACUGGGCGUAAAGCGCACGCAGGCGGUCUGUCAAGUCGGAUGUGAAAUCCCCGGGCUCAACCUGGGAACUGCAUUCGAAACUGGCAGGCUAGAGUCUUGUAGAGGGGGGUAGAAUUCCAGGUGUAGCGGUGAAAUGCGUAGAGAUCUGGAGGAAUACCGGUGGCGAAGGCGGCCCCCUGGACAAAGACUGAUGCUCAGGUGCGAAAGCGUGGGGAGCAAACA
rnacentral:rRNA from 1 species